rnacentral:rRNA from 1 species
UACGUAGGGCGCAAGCGUUGUCCGGAAUUAUUGGGCGUAAAGAGCUCGUAGGCGGUUUGUCGCGUCUGCUGUGAAAACCUAAGGCUCAACCUUGGGCUUGCAGUGGGUACGGGCAGACUAGAGUGCGGUAGGGGUGACUGGAAUUCCUGGUGUAGCGGUGAAAUGCGCAGAUAUCAGGAGGAACACCGAUGGCGAAGGCAGGUCUCUGGGCGAUUAAACUGACGC